ACAGUCGGUGAUGGCAGACACAGAGAAUAAAGAGGUGGCCAGAAUCACAUUUGUCUUUGAGACCCUCUGUUCUAUGAACUGUGAGCUCUACUUCAUGGUGGUACGUUUUCCUUUCUUUGCCCGCUAGAGGGCCUCCAGGGGAGGGUUAGCCCCAUCUGCCCCAUUGGUGUGUCCACGUGACUGACAGCCCCCUUGUAGUGAUUCCACAGAGGAAAGGCCCAGACUGACCAGCAGGGACUUCACAGUUUAACAAGGGUCUCACCAACCGUGAUGGCACCUGGGAUGGCAGCCACAUGGGCACCCACUUCCCCUCUGGCCAUCGCACCCGCUUCACUUGUCUGUCCUGGGUUUAGGGUGUGAAUUCUAGGACCAACACUCCCGUGGAGACGUGGAAAGGUUCCAAAGGCAAACAGUCCUAUACCUACAUCAUUGAGGAGAACACUACCACGAGCUUCACCUGGGCCUUCCAGAGGACCACUUUUCAUGAGGCAAGCAGGAAGUACACCAAUGACGUUGCCAAGAUCUACUCCAUCAAUGUCACC
rnacentral:sRNA from 1 species